AUUGAACGCUGGCGGCAUGCUUUACACAUGCAAGUCGGACGGCAGCACAGAGAAGCUUGCUUCUUGGGUGGCGAGUGGCGAACGGGUGAGUAACAUAUCGGAACGUACCGAGCAGUGGGGGAUAACUAAUCGAAAGAUUAGCUAAUACCGCAUAUCUUCUGAGGAAGAAAGCAGGGGACCAUUUGGCCUUGCGCUGUUUGAGCGGCCGAUAUCUGAUUAGCUAGUUGGUGGGGUAAAGGCCUACCAAGGCGACGAUCAGUAGCGGGUCUGAGAGGAUGAUCCGCCACACUGGGACUGAGACACGGCCCAGACUCCUACGGGAGGCAGCAGUGGGGAAUUUUGGACAAUGGGCGCAAGCCUGAUCCAGCCAUGCCGCGUGUCUGAAGAAGGCCUUCGGGUUGUAAAGGACUUUUGUCAGGGAAGAAAAGGGCGGGGUUAAUACCCCUGUCUGAUGACGGUACCUGAAGAAUAAGCACCGGCUAACUACGCG
rnacentral:rRNA from 1 species